CACUAUGCCUAGCCGUAAACCCUGGUAGACUAUAACAAUCUGCCCGCCCGAGUACUACGAGUAAGUAACUUGAAACUCAAAAGACCUGGCGGUACUUUAUAACUU
rnacentral:rRNA from 1 species